GCAAAAUUCCCCUCCUCCAAAACUCAGAAGGCACUGACCUCUAGCCUCUUAAGACAAAAGCACUUUUUUUCUAUCUUUCCUUGUCUCUAUCUGUCUGUCUGGUCUCUCUGCCUUCCCAUUAGGGCACCAAGAAGACAUGUUUAUAGGCCUCAUGGGAAGAUCAGCCAACCAAGCCCUCUCUGUGGCCUGGGACGAUAAGGACCAAGUGUCAAAGCUGGAACCUUGACCCUACACUACCAAGAAUGAAAACUCCCCCUGUCCCACAUUCCCUAUCACUUGGAGGUCACACCUGAUGAGGCCUUGGUCUGCCAGUCUCCCAGAACCCCCCAAUACAAUCUCCCACUGGCGUUUGACAUUGGCCAUGCACUGACACCAAACUGAUCAUGUCUUUUUUGAGUAUGUGGUACUCUCCUAUCAGAUUGCUAUGUUAAA
rnacentral:lncRNA from 1 species